GGUAAACCUACAGGAGGGUAGCGCUCCAGGAACAGCUUGGAGAGCCCUGGGCUAUAGUAACAGAGUAAGCUGGCAGAAACUCGGAGGAAAAAAACGUGUCGGUACAUAAAUUGCAACAUGGAUAUAGAUAUUAUUCAUGACACCAGCUGGAAGGCAGUUUUUUUUUCUCAGUGCGCCAUUGAUGUGAAUGCAGCAAUAUAAUGAAGAACAGCCUCAACUCGUCAGGGCACGGACUUUACAAGGUGUCGAAAGCAUUCCACAGGGAUCCUGGCCCAUGUUGACUCCAAUGCUUCCACACUUGUGUCAAGUUGGCUGGAUGUCCUUUGGAAUCAAGAGGAUCUUUGAACCCAUUUUUGCCUGAGCAGUGGUCACAUACGGUAGCAAAAGGACAUGAUUAUCAAAAAUAAUGUCUGCUAUGAUUGCAAUCCAGUCGUGAAAAUGUUAAUUUCAUUAUUUUCAUCUAUACCAGACUACCAUAUUCAGACUACCCUUAUGUCCACUUUAAAGUGUGCUGUUGCACAGCCAUGCACACUGAAUGUAUCAGUUUUUCCUUUUAACAGAUUUAAAACAUUUGUUUGAGGUAACAAAGUUUAAGAAUAAAUGGUU
rnacentral:lncRNA from 1 species